UGGGGGGACAAACCUAAGUGGGGCGAGUUGAAGCAAAGUUUAGUUCAUACAACAAUUGUAGGAGGCGCUAGUAAAUCUCACAGACACAUCUUUAAAAUAUAUCAGAGGCGCUAGUGACUUCACAAUACAUGCCUACAGUGUGUCAGUGACACAACAAACACACCAUUAUAGCUUGACAUUUGGCGCGAAAAGCCAAGGAAAAAAUGGUGGUGUAAUUUAAAGUGUCCGAAGUAGUGCCAGGCUCUUAAAGGGAAAGAAGAAGAAUUAAAAAUACUGCAAAUAAAGAAGAUAAGUAUAUUUCCAAUAUUAAUAACCCAACAGAUCCAAUAGGCUCUCAUGCAUGCAAUUGUUAUCCUUCUUACAUUAUAAUUUUCCAAAGUACGGCUCAAAUAACAAACAUAUUACUUUUCUUUAACAUGUCUUAACAUAGG